CUCUUGUAUAAGUCCAUUAAUUGGUAUGGACGUUUCGACCAGGCGACCGUAAAUUGCCCCAGGCUAUAAGAG
rnacentral:ncRNA from 1 species